rnacentral:rRNA from 1 species
CCUACGGGUGGCAGCAGUAGGGAAUAUUGCUCAAUGGGGGAAACCCUGAAGCAGCAACGCCGCGUGGAGGAUGAAGGUUUUCGGAUUGUUAACUCUUUUUGUUAGAGAAGAUAAUGACGGUAUCUAACGAAUAAGCACUGGCUAACUCCGUGCCAGCAGCCGUGGUAACACGGAGGGUGCAAGCGUUACUCGGAAUCACUGGGCGUAAAGCGCGCGUAGGCGGGAUAGCAAGUCAGAUGUGAAAUCCUAUGGCUUAACCAUAGAACUGCAGUUGAAACUGUUAGUCUAGAGUAUGGGAGAGGUAGGUGGAAUUCUUGGUGUAGGGGUAAAAUCCGUAGAUAUCAAGAAGAAUACUCAUUGCGAAGGCAACCUGCUAGAACGUAACUGACGCUGAUGCGCGAAAGUGUGGGGAUCAAACAGGAUUAGAUACCCUUGUAGUC